CGGUGAAUACGUUCCCGGACCUUGCACACACCGCCCGUCAAGCCAUGGAAGCUGGGUGUACCUAAAGUCGAUAACCGUAAGGAGUCGCCUAGGGUAAAACUAGUAACUGGGGCU
rnacentral:rRNA from 1 species